CAGGAACUAGCAAAGGAAGGGAUGCCUAAUAGCUUGGGCAUGGAAGAACUUGGGAUGCCUAACAAUGGUGGGGCAUGUCGAACGCCAAGGGAGAAGAGAAGGGAGAGGAAGAGAGAACGUGGGGGGGUCUCCAAAGGUGAGUAUGGGCUACUGGUUGGAUGCUCUAAGAACCUUAGAAAAGGUCUCUUUAAAUAGGCAUAAAGAUUGAAUCCUAUUC
rnacentral:lncRNA from 1 species